rnacentral:lncRNA from 1 species
CCUCAGAGGACUAGGGAUGAACUGAUUACCGCCUGUGAUUUUUCCAGGCCCAGAAGAAGUGAGGAUGCUUGUCUGGUUUAGUUCGAUAUGGUCAUUGGAUAAGAUUGAAUUGUAUUUCAACCCAUGGCUCCAAGGCAAAGACAAAGAAGCUUCAGUGUUUGCCAUCAUCUUUGGAUGUCCAUUUCCACAUUUAAAGGGCAGACUCCAGCCUUUUGGUGCAGACCCUUUGGCUUCAGGAUAUUGACUCACACCAGACUCUGCAGUGAGCUCCAGGCCCUCCACUUUUGAUUGAUGCAUUCUUCACCCUGACUCUGCAGGUGAAAGUUGAGGCACUGAAAAUGAAUAGAAGCGAAUCUAGGUAUCAAGGGAAGAAGGAAGAUUCAAGUGUUUUCUUGCUGUGCAUUGUCGUUGUUGUUGUUGUCUCUGAAGAUUAUUGCUGCUCUCUGGCUAACAUUGAGUAACAAUGAACUCUAUGGGGCAAAUGUACAAAUCCUGGACCUUUUAUGGGAGGAUUUGAUCCUCCCAUAAAAUGACUUUACUAUUUCUUGUCUUGAGGAAUCUAGAUCAAACAAGUCUUCCAUCCAUUUUUAUCUCCAGCCAUAGACAUAACCAUACCUUCUGGAAACUGUCUGCCUUCUUGGGGCAGGAAAUUCUCACAUGAUACACUGCAGGAUAGUUUAGACACAACUCUGUAUGUGCUCCUUCUGACCCACAAAAAACUCUACCUCUUCACAGUUGCUGAGUUAAGCGUUAGCUAAAUUGGUUCACCCAUGGCUUAGCACAAAUACUGUAUUUCUGUUAUUGAGGAUUGUUAUUAGAACACAGGGCUUUUAACAUCCUUUUAUAUUGAUUAGGGGACCUUAUCAUUAAUUUAGCAGCUAGAAAAAUCUAAUUAGACCGUGUAUUACACAGAGAAUUAAAUGUUGGCUUAAAGGUGUGCACAUUAUCACAUUUACAAGAAUGAGAAGAUGACAAAGUGCUUUUCUAUAUAGCCAACCAAACUGCAAUUCCAGUGUAUUUCUCAAUAAUCUG